CUGGAUCCCAGGACCCUGGGAUCAUGACCCAGGCUGAAGGCAGACGCUUAAUGACUGAGCCACCAAGGCGCCCAAACUGUGUAUAUAUUUUUAAUAGCUAAAACAUAAAUUGAAGUUUACUGAUAUAAGGAGAACAUCAAUUAUAUUCUAAGUCAAUUUAUAUGAUGGAUCAUCAGCACUGAGAAAUUGGACUUAACAAUUAUGGAACACAGGGAUAGAAUAACAGUACAGAGAUCUCAAGUACGUGGAGAGGCAAGCAGAGAGAGAGAGAGAGAGAGGAGGAAGCAGGCUUCCCGCUGAGCAGAGAUCCCGAUGCGGGGCUUGAUCCCAGGACCCCGGGACCAUGACCUGAGCCAAAGGCAGAGGCUUUAACCCACUGAACCACCCAAGUGCCCCUAUGGUAGGCAAUUUUAUAGACUGGAAAGAUGUAUGGAAAUGUGCAAUACAGAGUAUACAGAAG
rnacentral:lncRNA from 1 species